CGGGACGGGUGAGUAACGCGUGAGCAACCUGCCUUCAGAGGGGGAUAACGUUCGGAAACGAACGCUAAUACCGCAUGAUAUUGUUGAGUCGCAUGACUUAAUAAUCAAAGGAGCAAUCCGCUGAAAGAUGGGCUCGCGUCCGAUUAGGUAGUUGGUGGGGCAACGCCCACCAAGCCGACGAUCGGUAGCCGGACUGAGAGGUUGAACGGCCANAUUGGGACUGAGACACGGCCCAGACUCCUACGGGAGGCAGCAG
rnacentral:rRNA from 1 species